rnacentral:rRNA from 1 species
UACGUAGGGGGCAAGCGUUGUCCGGAAUCAUUGGGCGUAAAGCGCGCGUAGGCGGCCCGGUAAGUCCGCUGUAAAAGUCCAGGGCUCAACCCUGGAAAGCCGGUGGAUACUGUCGGGCUAGAGUCCGGAAGAGGCGAGUGGAAUUCCUGGUGUAGCGGUGGAAUGCGCAGAUAUCAGGAGGAACACCGGUGGCGAAGGCGGAUCUCUGGGCCUUACCUGACGCUGAGGCGCGAAAGCUAGGGGAGCGAACAGG